rnacentral:lncRNA from 1 species
CUGUCAUCCAUUUUCAGAUCUUCUGUCUGGUGCUUCUAUUUAGCUUGAAAAUCUAACAAAAGUUAAAUGUUCAGCAGGUUGGACGGUCGUCAUGUUGUAUUCGGAAAGGUGCUGCCCGGAAUAGAUGUGGUGUAUAAGAUAGAAGCCGAAUGCAACUAGAGUGGAACAACCAAAAGCAAAGUUGUGAUUGCAGACAGUGGUGAACUUCCCUUGUAAUCAGCUUGUACUUGAACUUGUCAGUUUUACCCUUCUACUCACUUCUACUUACUGCGGGUUAUGCAUCUUAAUUUACAUACCUGAAUUAUGUUAUUUAGGAAAAUGAAAUAGGUACCAAAAAAGUACACUUUUCAAUUUGGCACCUAAUAUUAUGAGUCCAUAAGGCAUGUAGAAUGUAUAUUAGGAAAGAAGAGAGGAAACAGAUGCGAUUUCUCUUACAUUGUUGAUAGAGAUCAUUAGGGGAUCAAUGUUAAUUUUCUAGGAAUUUCUUUAUGCUGAUAAGAACACGAACACUGUUGUCUCAAAGGUGUUCAAGGAGCUAAAAUUGAUUAUCAAGAACCCGCAGAUUUAGAGCUUACGAUGGAUAUUGUUACCAAGCUUCAGAAGAUUCGUUUUACAUUUUCUUGAUCUGUUCAGUGACCUUUCCGUUAGUUAGCAUUUAUACAAUUUCUCUCUCUCAUAAAUGCAGUAGGAAAGAAGACAGAAAAAUAGCAAGAAGUCGUAAUUGCAUAGUGAAGAAGUUUCAAAGGCACCCAGAAUGAUUUUUUUCUGAAGUG